GGGGAAUAUUGCAUCAUGGGGGAAACCCUGAUGCAGCAACGCCGCGUGAAGGAUGAAGGUUUUCGGAUUGUAAACUUCUUUAGUCAGGGACGAAUAAAUGACGGUACCUGAAGAAUAAGCCACGGCUAACUACGUGCCAGCAGCCGCGGUAAUACGUAGGUGGCGAGCGUUGUCCGGAAUUACUGGGUGUAAAGGGCGUGUAGGCGGGAAUGUAAGUCAGAUGUGAAAUCCCAGGGCUUAACUCUGGAGCUGCAUCUGAAACUAUGUUUCUUGAGUGUCGGAGAGGAAAGCGGAAUUCCUAGUGUAGCGGUGAAAUGCGUAGAUAUUGGGAAGAACACCAGUGGCGAAGGCGACUUACUGGGCCGUAACUGACGUUGAUGCGCGAAAGCGUGGGGAGCGAACA
rnacentral:rRNA from 1 species